rnacentral:rRNA from 3 species
AGAGUUUGAUCCUGGCUCAGGAUGAACGCUGGCGGCGUGCCUAAUACAUGCAAGUCGAGCGAACGGACGAGAAGCUUGCUUCUCUGAUGUUAGCGGCGGACGGGUGAGUAACACGUGGAUAACCUACCUAUAAGACUGGGAUAACUUCGGGAAACCGGAGCUAAUACCGGAUAAUAUUUUGAACCGCAUGGUUCAAAAGUGAAAGACGGUCUUGCUGUCACUUAUAGAUGGAUCCGCGCUGCAUUAGCUAGUUGGUAAGGUAACGGCUUACCAAGGCAACGAUGCAUAGCCGACCUGAGAGGGUGAUCGGCCACACUGGAACUGAGACACGGUCCAGACUCCUACGGGAGGCAGCAGUAGGGAAUCUUCCGCAAUGGGCGAAAGUCUGACGGAGCAACGCCGCGUGAGUGAUGAAGGUCUUCGGAUCGUAAAACUCUGUUAUUAGGGAAGAACAUAUGUGUAAGUAACUGUGCACAUCUUGACGGUACCUAAUCAGAAAGCCACGGCUAACUACGUGCCAGCAGCCGCGGUAAUACGUAGGUGGCAAGCGUUAUCCGGAAUUAUUGGGCGUAAAGCGCGCGUAGGCGGUUUUUUAAGUCUGAUGUGAAAGCCCACGGCUCAACCGUGGAGGGUCAUUGGAAACUGGAAAACUUGAGUGCAGAAGAGGAAAGUGGAAUUCCAUGUGUAGCGGUGAAAUGCGCAGAGAUAUGGAGGAACACCAGUGGCGAAGGCGACUUUCUGGUCUGUAACUGACGCUGAUGUGCGAAAGCGUGGGGAUCAAACAGGAUUAGAUACCCUGGUAGUCCACGCCGUAAACGAUGAGUGCUAAGUGUUAGGGGGUUUCCGCCCCUUAGUGCUGCAGCUAACGCAUUAAGCACUCCGCCUGGGGAGUACGACCGCAAGGUUGAAACUCAAAGGAAUUGACGGGGACCCGCACAAGCGGUGGAGCAUGUGGUUUAAUUCGAAGCAACGCGAAGAACCUUACCAAAUCUUGACAUCCUUUGACAACUCUAGAGAUAGAGCCUUCCCCUUCGGGGGACAAAGUGACAGGUGGUGCAUGGUUGUCGUCAGCUCGUGUCGUGAGAUGUUGGGUUAAGUCCCGCAACGAGCGCAACCCUUAAGCUUAGUUGCCAUCAUUAAGUUGGGCACUCUAAGUUGACUGCCGGUGACAAACCGGAGGAAGGUGGGGAUGACGUCAAAUCAUCAUGCCCCUUAUGAUUUGGGCUACACACGUGCUACAAUGGACAAUACAAAGGGCAGCGAAACCGCGAGGUCAAGCAAAUCCCAUAAAGUUGUUCUCAGUUCGGAUUGUAGUCUGCAACUCGACUACAUGAAGCUGGAAUCGCUAGUAAUCGUAGAUCAGCAUGCUACGGUGAAUACGUUCCCGGGUCUUGUACACACCGCCCGUCACACCACGAGAGUUUGUAACACCCGAAGCCGGUGGAGUAACCUUUUAGGAGCUAGCCGUCGAAGGUGGGACAAAUGAUUGGGGUGAAGUCGUAACAAGGUAGCCGUAUCGGAAGGUGCGGCUGGAUCACCU